AAGAACGACUCUCGGCAACGGAUAUCUCGGCUCUCGCAUCGAUGAAGAACGUAGCGAAAUGCGAUACUUGGUGUGAAUUGCAGAAUCCCGUGAACCAUCGAGUCUUUGAACGCAAGUUGCGCCCGAAGCCAUCGGGCCGAGGGCACGUCUGCCUGGGCGUCACACGC
rnacentral:rRNA from 2 species